CGACUCUGGUUUCUCUUCAUUACGCACAAGCCUUUCGCCUUUUACUAAAGACUUCCGUGGAGAGGAACACUUACGAGUUCAACAUAUUUUUGGAAGGGCUUUGCCUCUGGCAGAGCC
rnacentral:snRNA from 1 species